GCCUCCCUCGCCCUAUAAAGUCGCCCACCGAAACCCUAAUCCCCAUCUCACUCAUAGCCCCGGGAUCCCCCAUCGGCCUCCUCCUCUUCUUCUCGAAUUCGAGCUCGAGCAACUCACGGUCACCAUUGCCUCGCUGUCAUCGUCGCGGCCACCGACCUCUCCGUCAUGCGGGAGCAUGUCCGGGAUGUCCGUCGCGGCUGGCUUCGUCUGUUCCGGACCCCAGACCGAGCCAAGGCGCUGCGUCGCCAACGCCAUCAUCGUCUUCUUCAUCCGGCCGCCGCCAUCUCGCCAUCGAUCCGCACCGCUCCGACCACCCUCGGCCUUGCUGUCUACACCUCCGGCAUUACGAUUGAUGAGUUCGUGAUGUACGAAAAGAGAAUGCCUUAGAAAGACCGGUCAUACGAAAGAGCACUUAUUACUAUUGAAAUAUUAUGGUGACGAUGUUUAGCAGUCAUAAAAGGGAGAGAAAACGAAGGUUAAAAAUACUUCAAAGGAAUAGGACUGAAGGCUACCAUAGAACCUACAGGGUCUAGGAACACAGGAAUAAGAGAAAGUAGACUGUUCGGAUCACAGCAGCCUUAAGGGUUUUUAAAUUGCCCACAAGGCAGCUUUGUCUCUAUCUCUCACCCCAUCACGUCACACAUCAGCUCAUUUUAAUUAGCUCUGCAUGCUGACUGCCAUGAUCAGAGCACCUCGUCUCGGUCUUCCGCGAAAAACAUGAGCUCCGGGCAGAUUUUUCAAUUCCUGUGGAAUCGGCAUCGAAAGGACAGGUUUCCUUUGGAUCACUGUAGGUCAUUCCUGCGUUUCGAACACCACAAAGGAAAAUAAACCUUCAUGAACAGUAUUCCUUCAUGAUUCCUGCAAAAAUCCUAUGAACCGAACGGAGCCUGAAUAUGGUCCAGUUAGUGGCGUAUUAUUCCUUGCAUUCAACACGUGUGUAUAACACCUCGACGAUGUGUUAUUCUAUAUUGAAGUUUUAAUGAACCUGAACUCUUCUGAUUA